rnacentral:rRNA from 1 species
CUUUUCUCGUUAGUUUUUGAAGUAUGGCCUGCCCGCUGACGUUGAAGGGCCGCGGUAUUUUGACCGUGCAAAGGUAGCAUAGUCAUUAGUUCUUUAAUUGUGAUCUGGUAUGAAUGGCUUGACGAGGCAUGGGCUGUCUUAAUUUUGAAUUGUUUAUUGAAUUUGGUCUUUGGGUUAAAAUUCUUAGAUGUUUUUAUGGGACGAGAAGACCCUAUAGAGUUUAACAUUUAUUACGGUUCUCUGUUUGUGAGGGUUCGCUGGGCCGUUUAGUAUGUUUCGUUGGGGUGAUGGGAGGGAUUUAUUUAACCCCUCCUUUGUGUUGUUAUAUUUAUUUAUAUUUAUUAA